rnacentral:rRNA from 1 species
GACGAACGCUGGCGGCGUGCCUAAUACAUGCAAGUGGAACGCAUUUUGAUCACCGUAGCUUGCUACACCGAUUAAAAUGAGUCGCGAACGGGUGAGUAACGCGUAGGUAACCUACCUCAUAGCGGGGGACAACUAUUGGAAACGAUAGCUAAUACCGCAUAAGACAUUUUAUCGCAUGAUAGGAUGUUAAAAGAUGCAACUGCAUCACUAUGAGAUGGACCUGCGUUGUAUUAGCUAGUUGGUGAGGUAACGGCUCACCAAGGCUGCGAUACAUAGCCGACCUGAGAGGGUGAUCGGCCACACUGGGACUGAGACACGGCCCAGACUCCUACGGGAGGCAGCAGUAGGGAAUCUUCGGCAAUGGGGGCAACCCUGACCGAGCAACGCCGCGUGAGUGAAGAAGGUUUUCGGAUUGUAAAACUCUGUUGUAAGCGAAGAACAGUGAUAGGAGUGGAAAAUCUAUCACAUGACGGUAGCUUACCAGAAAGGGACGGCUAACUACGUGCCAGCAGCCGCGGUAAUACGUAGGUCUCGAGCGUUGUCCGGAUUUAUUGGGCGUAAAGCGAGCGCAGGCGGUUAGAUAAGUCAGAAGUUAAAGGCUGUGGCUCAACCAUAGUACGCUUUUGAAACUGUUUAACUUGAGUGCAGAAGGGGAGAGUGGAAUUCCAUGUGUAGCGGUGAAAUGCGUAGAUAUAUGGAGGAACACCGGUGGCGAAAGCGGCUCUCUGGUCUGUCACUGACGCUGAGGCUCGAAAGCGUGGGUAGCGAACAGGAUUAGAUACCCUGGUAGUCCACGCCGUAAACGAUGAGUGCUAGGUGUUAGGCCCUUUCCGGGGCUUAGUGCCGCAGCUAACGCAUUAAGCACUCCGCCUGGGGAGUACGACCGCAAGGUUGAAACUCAAAGGAAUUGACGGGGGCCCGCACAAGCGGUGGAGCAUGUGGUUUAAUUCGAAGCAACGCGAAGAACCUUACCAGGUCUUGACAUCCCUCUGACCGGUCUAGAGAUAGACUUUCCCUUCGGGGCAGAGGUGACAGGUGGUGCAUGGUUGUCGUCAGCUCGUGUCGUGAGAUGUUGGGUUAAGUCCCGCAACGAGCGCAACCCUUAUUGUUAGUUGCCAUCAUUUAGUUGGGCACUCUAGCGAGACUGCCGGUAAUAAACCGGAGGAAGGUGGGGAUGACGUCAAAUCAUCAUGCCCCUUAUGACCUGGGCUACACACGUGCUACAAUGGUUGGUACAACGAGUCGCAAGCCGGUGACGGCAAGCUAAUCUCUUAAAGCCAAUCUCAGUUCGGAUUGUAGGCUGCAACUCGCCUACAUGAAGUCGGAAUCGCUAGUAAUCGCGGAUCAGCACGCCGCGGUGAAUACGUUCCCGGGCCC